UGGUGAAUGGUUCUAUCUUGCUC
rnacentral:siRNA from 1 species